rnacentral:rRNA from 1 species
UACAGAGGGGGCAAGCGUUGUUCGGAAUUACUGGGCGUAAAGGGCGCGUAGGCGGCCUGUUAAGUCGAACGUGAAAUCCCCGGGCUCAACCCGGGAACUGCGUCCGAUACUGGCAGGCUUGAAUCCGGGAGAGGGAUGCGGAAUUCCAGGUGUAGCGGUGAAAUGCGUAGAUAUCGGGAGGAACACCAGUGGCGAAGGCGGCGAUCUGGGAAGAUACUGACGCUGAGGUGCGAAAGCGUGGGGAGCAAACAGG